GCCUCUAUGGCGCAGUGGUAACGCGUCGCACUUGUAUCCAACAAUUUGACGCGGUCCAGUCCACUGGAUCAAUCAAAUAUCAAACAUCCAAUGCGAAGAUCCCUAGUUCAAUUCUGGGUGGAGGCA
rfam:Baudoinia panamericana TAMH 10762 unplaced genomic scaffold BATCOscaffold_13, whole genome shotgun sequence.